rnacentral:rRNA from 1 species
GCAAGUCGAGCGAAGCUUUUUAGUAGUUUACUACUAGAAAUGACUGAGCGGCGAACGGGUGAGUAACGCGAGAGCAAUCUACCUUAGUUACUGGGAUAGCCCGAGGAAACUCGGAUUAAUACCAGAUAUUCUUAUUUUUUCACAUGAAGUUUUAAGGAAAGGUCAGCCGAACUAAGAUGAGCUCGCGUUCUAUCAGCUAGUUGGUGGGGUAAAAGCCUACCAAGGCUACGACGGAUAGCUGGUCUGAGAGGACGAUCAGCCACACUGGGACUGAGACACGGCCCAGACUCCUACGGGAGGCUGCAGCAGGGAAUAUUGUGCAAUGAGCGAAAGCUUGACACAGCGACACCGCGUGUGGGAUGACGGUUCUAGGAUUGUAAACCACUUUCAGGAGGGAAGAAAAUGACGGUACCUCCACAAGAAGACCCGGCCAACUAUGUGCCAGCAGCCGCGGUAAUACAUAGGGGUCAAGCGUUGUCCGGAUUUAUUGGGCGUAAAGAGCUCGUAGGCGGUUCAACAAGUCGGUCGUAAAAGUUUAGGGCUCAACCCUAAAAUGUCGAUCGAUACUGUUGUGACUAGGAUACGGUAGAGGUGAAUGGAAUUCCGAGUGUAGCGGUGAAAUGCGUAGAUAUUCGGAGGAACACCAAUUGCGAAGGCAGUUCACUGGACCGUGAUCGACGCUGAGGAGCGAAAGCUAGGGG